rnacentral:tRNA from 1 species
GGUGGUAGCUCAGUGGUAGAACAGUUGCCUAGCAUGUAUGAAGCUCUGGGUUUGAUCCCCAAUACCACCA